GUAGGUGGCAAGCGUUGUCCGGAAUUAUUGGGCGUAAAGCGCGCGCAGGCGGUUCUUUAAGUCCGAUGUGAAAGCCCACGGCUCAACCGUGGAGGGUCAUUGGAAACUGGAGAACUUGAGUACAGAAGAGGAAAGCGGAAUUCCACGUGUAGCGGUGAAAUGCGUAGAGAUGUGGAGGAACACCAGUGGCGAAGGCGGCUUUCUGGUCUGUAACUGACGCUGAGGCGCGAAAGCGUGGGGAGCAAACAGGGAUUAGAUACCCUGGUAGUCCACGCCGUAAACGAUGAGUGCUAAGUGUUAGGGGGUUUCCCGCCCCUUAGUGCUGCAGCUAACGCAUUAAGCACUCCGCCUGGGGAGUACGCCGCAAGGCUG
rnacentral:rRNA from 1 species